rnacentral:rRNA from 1 species
GAAUAUUGGUCAAUGGACGCAAGUCUGAACCAGCCAUGCCGCGUGGAGGAUGACGGCCCUCUGGGUUGUAAACUCCUUUUAUCUGGGAAGAAAUGCAGAUUUUCUAAUCUGUUUGACGGUACCAGAGGAAUAAGCACCGGCUAACUCCGUGCCAGCCGCCGCGGUAAUACGGAGGGUGCAAGCGUUAUCCGGAUUCACUGGGUUUAAAGGGUGCGUAGGUGGAGUGGUAAGUCAGUGGUGAAAUCUCCAAGCUUAACUUGGAAACUGCCGUUGAUACUAUCAUUCUUGAAUAUCGUGGAGGUAAGCGGAAUAUGUCAUGUAGCGGUGAAAUGCUUAGAUAUGACAUAGAACACCGAUUGCGAAGGCAGCUUGCUAAACGAUCAUUGACACUGAGGCACGAAAGCGUGGGGAUCAAACAGG